rnacentral:lncRNA from 1 species
UAAUAAUUAGGUACAAUAACAUAGUGCAGUUUAUGCGGCUACUCUUCAAGGAUAUUGCAACUAUUCUACGUAUGCUUAUGAACUGGUCUCGCUGCUUGAAAUGUCAUGCGCAGCUGUUUUUUGGUAACGUAUUUGUCUUAGCUUUCAAGUUUCUCACGCAUCAUUGUGGCAUGUACUUUAGCAGCCACACUACCAUGGGCGUCGGCAGGACUUAGUCUUGGCGAGGGUGUUGC